GACAGAGGAGCCAAGCGUUGUCCGGAUUGACUGGGCGUAAAGCGCACGCAGGCGGUCGUGCACGUGGGGUGUGAAAACUGGCGGCUUAACCGCCAGAGGCCACCUCAUACGGCGCGACUCGAGCCCUGCAGAGGUCCAUGGAAUUGCCGGUGUAGUGGUGAAAUGCGUAGAGAUCGGCAGGAACACCCAGGGGGAAACCAGUGGACUGGGCAGGAGCUGACGCUCAGGUGCGAAAGCGUGGGGAGCAAACAGG
rnacentral:rRNA from 1 species